AAAUAAUCACUCUUUAGCACAUCUUGCCAUCGUGAAAAGGAAAGUUGAUGAACUUGUUGAAGAGAGAAAAAGUUUGCUUGAAGAAAUAAAUAGAAGUCACAGAGAAUUAAUUGCGGCUCAAAUUUGGUUGGGGAAGCUCGAGGAGAAUGAGGAAUUUUUAUCUACUGAAAAUGAACUAUUGAAGGCUGAUAAUGCCAAAUUGUCAUGGAACUUGAGGAGGAAUUAGAAAAAAUUUCUAUUCUAUUGGAUAUGCAAUAACCCACUCCAUGUUAAGGGUGAUUUUAUUGAAAUUAUU